rnacentral:tRNA from 1 species
GAACCAAGAAAUCCAAAAAAAAAGCUUCUAACUUAUUUUUAAGCAGUGAAAUACUGUUUUUGGUUCU